rnacentral:tRNA from 1 species
AUUCCUGUGGCUCAGUUGGUAGAGCAUGGUGUUUGCAACGCCAGGGUUGUGGGUUCGAUUCCCACGGGGGGCA